CGGCGACCGUUGGGCGUCAGCGGACUUGGCAGCGGGGACGUUGGCGGCAGCGGCCCCUCAGAGCCUGGACCCUGGUGAGGGCGCCGACCCCGGUCGUGUGUGGCAGGUGACAGUCGCGGGCGCUGAGCAGGGACCAGACUCCGCUCGCGCUCCUCGUCCUGAACGCGCUGACUGACGAAGGUGUCGCCGCCCCGCGUGCCCCCUGAGGAGGAUGUGCAGAUCUGAGAUCACCAGAUGUCACCAUUGAAUGAAGACCCACGAUUCUUCAGUUACCUGGAACAUAUGUGGACUUGGUCUUCCUGCUCCUCAAGAUUCUGGGAAACCAUCCCACCUGCAUUCUAAAAGAACUAAAACAAUAUCCAGCCUUCUCUCAUCAGAUACCCUGGUUGUCGAUGGUUUAGAGGAAUUUAUACACUGAGGCUGGACAGAUGGAAUGAACCUGUGAGCCCUCAAAUGAAAAUGAAUCUUUGCUGCUACACAGAAACAUUGGCCAUUCAUGCUGUACCUCUAGAGCGGAACAGACUUCUAGUUCCUCGAAGGAGAAAGUGGUGGCACUCCUAUAAGGACGAUAGGGGUUGGACAGGCUGGGAAGAUCUGAAGAAGUCAAAUAGUAUUCAUCCAGUGGAUCCUGUGGUAUGUCAUGCUCUACGUUCUCUGGCUGCUCCCCACAGAGCCUGGUGGCUUAGAGAGGACUAAUGAUUAAUCCAAGAGGGAUCAGAUAUCAUAGAGUCUUAUUUGGUUUUGAUGAAAGGCAUAGGAAGUGCUCAAGAAAGCACAGAAGCUGACCUAUUAAAGAGGGGAAAACUCCUCUAUUUUUUGUGGGACAGAGUGCAUUUGUCACAAGGGCAGGAUAUAGAAAGGACAGUAGGUGCUCAGUACAGUGUCCAAACGACAGGCUGAUGAGGAAUGAGGCUGAAUUAUCUCUGUACCAUUCAGUUGUGACUCACAAUAUACAGAGUCAUGUAACAGUGGCUUUCCCUCUUUCAUUUAAUUUGCAUUGAAUUUUACGUGUAGUGGCCAAGUGCAUACAGCUUUUGGGGCACUCUAGUAUCCCAGAAAUCUCAUGCUAUCAAGGCCCGUUUCUCUCAAUAUUGUGGUGUGAUAUAAUAAUAUUUUUGUCUCCUUAGAUUUCUUGCUAUGAAAUUCAUGCAAAUGCUAGCACAUCUCACUCUGUAAACCACACAGAAGAGAACACGUGAGUGGAGAAAAUCCCUGUGACUUCUUAGUUCACCCAGGUCAACUGGCUAUGGGUUACAAAACUUGGGUAGUUAAUGAGUGGGAACAAUACAAGUACCACAAUGAAACAGAAAACAUUAUGAAAAAGGGUAAUUGAUGGUUGGCAGAAUGGAUGAUAUAUAUUCAGCACUUUCUGCUUUUCCCUGAAUCUGAGGUCCGCAGAUAUCACCAUUGAAUUAACAGCCCACAGUUACUCAGUUGACCCUUGUCCUUUCCCCUCCUCAUGAUCAUUUUGGUUUUCUGCAAAUAAGUUAAGAGAAGGAUGGUUACAUUCAGCAGGCCCCCUUUCACAAAUGCCUGAUCCUGUGUCCAAUUCUAGCACAGGGACAUAAAUAUAUGCAAUGUAAUAACAGGCUGUUGUGAACGAAAUAUUCCAGGAAGUAUUAGGUAAGGCCUUGUAAGAAGUCACCAGUUGGCUCUCUUGAGCCAUUGGACAAAUCUGUCUGGUAUGAGAGGUCAUCAUCAGAGUAUCCUAUGUCCUGAGU